rfam:Nematostella vectensis strain CH2 x CH6 NEMVEscaffold_191_Cont18109, whole genome shotgun sequence.
AACCCAGGGGUAUUUUGCUCUAACGUUUCACUCGCUAAAAAGUUUUUUUCGCGAGUGAAACGUUAGAGGAAAAUAACCCUGUGUU